UACAGAGGGGGCAAGCGUUAUUCGGAAUUAUUGGGCGUAAAGGGCGCGUAGGCGGCUUGGCAAGUGGAUGGUGAAAUCCCUCGGCUUAACCGAGGAACUGCCGUCCAAAACUGCUUCGCUUGAGACCGGGAGAGGUGAGUGGAAUUCCCAGUGUAGCGGUGAAAAUGCGUAGAUAUUGGGAGGAACACCAGUGGCGAAGGCGGCUCACUGGCCCGAUACUGACGCUGAGGUGCGAAAGCGUGGGGAGCAAACAGG
rnacentral:rRNA from 1 species